UCAUGCAGGAAGGCAUUCGAGUACUAGCCAUAUUAGGAGAUGAGAUCUAAGUUUCUUAAGUAAAUAGAGAAAUGGGCAUAUGGCUACCCCAAAGGCAGAGCAGCCUACUUGCAUCACUGGGGUUUCAGCUGGAUAGUAAAGUUAACAGGUAGGCUUUGAAAACCAGAACUCCCUGGUAUGGGUUAAUAUGUAGUCCUCUGGAAAGAAGCAGUCACCUGGAAAUUAUGGCAGCCUUACCUUGUGCAAAGUUGUGACUUCAAGGAAUAACAACGUUAUCUAAAUACUGGGAAAUUUCUUCUGACAUAGCUUUUGUUGAACAUAAGAAGAAUGAAAACUAUUCUGGGAGCUG